rnacentral:miRNA from 1 species
AGUUAAAUGCGUCAUGACUCA